rnacentral:rRNA from 1 species
UACGAAGGGGGCAAGCGUUGUUCGGAAUUACUGGGCGUAAAGGGUGCGUAGGCGGCGCGGUAAGUCGGGUGUGAAAUCUCGGGGCUUAACUCCGAAACUGCAUUCGAUACUGCCGUGCUUGAGGACUGGAGAGGAGACUGGAAUUUACGGUGUAGCGGUGAAAUGCGUAGAUAUCGUAAGGAAGACCAGUGGCGAAGGCGGGUCUCUGGACAGUUCCUGACGCUGAGGCACGAAGGCCAGGGGAGCAAACGGG